rnacentral:rRNA from 1 species
GAUGAACGCUGGCGGCGUGCCUAAUACAUGCAAGUCGAGCGAAGCGGGGACGGGUGAGUAACACGUGGAUAACCUCCUAUAAGACUGGGAUAACUUCGGGAAACUGGAGCUAAACCGGAUAUUUAUAGAUGGAUCCGCGCUGGAUUAGCUAGUUGGUAAGGUAACGGCUUACCAAGGCAACGAUGCAUAGCCGACCUUAGAGGGGGGACGGCCCCACCGGGACUGGGACACGGUCCAGAAUCCCUCGGGAGGGAGCAGGAGGGAAUUCUUCCAAAUGGGCGGAAAUUCGAUUGAGGCAAGCCGCGGGAGUGAAGAAGGGUUUUGGAUCGUAAAGCUUUGUUGGUUGGGAAGCGGUAUUCAACCAGAAAGCCACGGCUAACUACGUGCCAGCAGCCGCGGUAAUCC